UACGUAGGGACCAAGCGUUGUCCGGAUUUACUGGGCGUAAAGGGCGCGUAGGCGGCGUGUUAAGUCAGCUGUGAAAUCUUCGAGCUUAACUCGGAACAGUCAGCUGAUACUGAUGUGCUAGAGUGCAGAAGGGGCAAUCGGAAUUCUUGGUGUAGCGGUGAAAUGCGUAGAUAUCAAGAGGAACACCUGAGGUGAAGGCGGGUUGCUGGGCUGACACUGACGCUGAGGCGCGAAAGCUAGGGUAGCAAACGG
rnacentral:rRNA from 1 species